UACGUAGGGUGCAGGCGUUAAUCGGAAUUACUGGGCGUAAAGCGUGCGCAGGCGGUUGUGCAAGACAGAUGUGAAAUCCCCGGGCUUAACCUGGGAACUGCAUUUGUGACUGCACGGCUAGAGUGUGUCAGAGGGGGGUAGAAUUCCACGUGUAGCAGUGAAAUGCGUAGAGAUGUGGAGGAACACCGAUGGCGAAGGCAGCCUCCUGGGCCAGCACUGACGCUCAUGCACGAAAGCGUGGGGAGCAAACAGG
rnacentral:rRNA from 1 species